rnacentral:rRNA from 1 species
ACAAGCGGUGGAGCAUGUGGUUAAUUCGAAGACAACGCGAAGAACCUUACCAGGCCUUGACAUGCAGAGAACUUUCCAGAGAUGGAUUGGUGCCUUCGGGAACUCUGACACAGGUGCUGCAUGGCUGUCGCCAGCUCGUGUCGUGAGAUGUUGGGUUAAGUCCCGUAACGAGCGCAACCCUUGUCCUUAGUUACCAGCACGUUAUGGUGGGCACUCUAAGGAGACUGCCGGUGACAAACCGGAGGAAGGUGGGGAUGACGUCAAGUCAUCAUGGCCCUUACGGCCUGGGCUACACACGUGCUACAAUGGUCGGUACAAAGGGUUGCCAAGCCGCGAGGUGGAGCUAAUCCCAUAAAACCGAUCGUAGUCCGGAUCGCAGUCUGCAACUCGACUGCGUGAAGUCGGAAUCGCUAGUAAUCGUGAAUCAGAAUGUCACGGUGAAUACGUUCCCGGGCCUU